rnacentral:rRNA from 1 species
CCUACGGGUGGCAGCAGUGGGGGAUAUUGCACAAUGGAGGAAACUCUGAUGCAGCGACGCCGCGUGAGGGAAGACGGUCUUCGGAUUGUAAACCUCUGUCUUUGGGGAAGAAAAUGACGGUACCCAAAGAGUAAGCUCCGGCUAACUACGUGCCAGCAGCCGCGGUAAUACGGAGGGGGCGAGCGUGGUCCGGAAUUACUGGGUGUAAGGGGAGCGUAGGCGGGCGAGAAAGUUGAAUGUUAAAUCUACCGGCGAAACCGGUAGCUGCGUUCAAAACUGUAUGUCUGGAGUGAAGUAGAGGCAGGCGGAAUUCCUAGUGUAGCGGUGAAAUGCGUAGAUAUUAGGAGGAACACCAGUGGCGAAGGCGGCCUGCUGGGCUGUAACUGACGCUGAGGCUCGAAAGCGUGGGGAGCAAACAGGAUUAGAUACCCUAGUAGUC